rnacentral:lncRNA from 10 species
GGAGAACUGCAGCUGUGAGGCCCAGGACCCUUAGCAGGACAUGCAGAGCUGGGCAGGGACCCAGGCUCAUGCUCCCAGCGUGGGUGGGGAACACAGAGCCCUGCCCAGAGGCUUGAACCUGGCACCACAGGGGUCUGGAAUUACACAGAAGACGGGUGACAGCCAAGGUGGAUCAUGAACGGUGAGAAGUCCAGCAGGUGACAAGGGGAAGGGUCUAAAGGGUGGAGGGCACAGCGCAAGCAAAGUCUUGGCAACAAAAGAGCUAAUGCAUCCCAGAAAUGGGGCAGGUGGAGUACUGGAAGCUACACCAAGCUUCAGAGUGGUCCUGUGGCCUCGGUGUGGUAGCUCAGGCCUAUAAUUCCAACACUUUGGGAGGCUGAGGCAGGAGGAGGAUAACUUGAACCCAGGAGUUCAAGAUCAGCCUGGGCAA